rnacentral:lncRNA from 1 species
AACAAAGGGUGACCCAGAGUUGGGACAGGGUCAUUGUUCGCAUCUCUGUGCAAAACCAGCUUCCCCUGCCUCCCCCAGCAGCUACUGGAGUGGAAGACCCAGCUUCCUUGCCACUGAUAUUCUCAGGAGCCCCACCAUCGGCAGAAGAAACAAAAACGUAGCUGUUAUGUAGUGACCUGGAGGACAGAUGGGUUGCUGAGCAUCUUUAGGAAUCAUAGAAAUAGUGGGAAAGAAGGGGAAAUCUUUCUGGGGAAAGAACGCUUGCCUUUGGAACCCAGCCAGUCUGUUGUGAGGAAGCCCAGCCACAUGGAAAGUCCACAUGUGGGUGCCCCAAUCAACAUCCCCACUUAGGCCUCCAGCUGACAGCCAGCAUUAAUCGCUAGACAUGUGAGUGAAUGAGCUUUCAGAUGAUUCGAGAGCGCACUGGUCAGGUCCUCCAGCUGAGACCUCAGACCUCAUGGUACAGAUAAAUCAAACCCACUAUGCUCUGUCUGAAUUCCUGACCCACAGAAACCAUGGGAUAAUAAAUGGUUAUUGUCAUUGUAAGCCCCUAAAUGUUGUGGUAAUUUGUUAUGCAACAAUAGAGAACUAAAAUUUGG